rnacentral:rRNA from 1 species
UACGGAGGGGGCUAGCGUCGUUCGGAAUUACUGGGCGUAAAGCGCACGUAGGCGGUUUAUCAAGUCAGGCGUGAAAGCCCCGGGCUCAACCCGGGAAUUGCGCUUGGUACUGGUUGACUAGAGGCCGGGAGAGGGUAGUGGAAUUCCCAGUGUAGAGGUGAAAUUCGUAGAUAUUGGGAAGAACACCGGUGGCGAAGGCGGCUACCUGGACCGGACCUGACGCUGAGGUGCGAAAGCGUGGGGAGCAAACAGG